rnacentral:tRNA from 1 species
GGAGGUGUUACCCAGUGGUGGGGUGCUGGUCUGGCAUGUGCGAGACGCUGGGUUUGAUCCCCAGCACUGCCA